UACGGGGGGGGCAAGCGUUGUUCGGAAUUACUGGGCGUAAAGGGCUCGUAGGCGGCCAACUAAGUCAGACGUGAAAUCCCUAGGCUCAACCUAGGAACUGCGUCUGAUACUGGAUGGCUUGAAUCCGGGAGAGGGAUGCAGAAUUCCAGGUGUAGCGGUGAAAUGCGUAGAUAUCUGGAGGAAUACCGGUGGCGAAGGCGGGUCUCUGGACAGUAACUGACGCUGAGGAGCGAAAGCGUGGGGAGCGAACAGG
rnacentral:rRNA from 1 species